UGUAUGGUUAAGUGACUAAGCGUACACGGUGGAUGCCUGGGCAGUCAGAGGCGAUGAAGGACGUACUAACUUGCGAUAAGCGCAGAUAAGGCAGUAAGAGCCGUUUGAGUCUGCGAUUUCCGAAUGGGGAAACCCAACUGCAUAAGCAGUUACUGUUAACUGAAUACAUAGGUUAACAGAGCAAACCGGGGGAACUGAAACAUCUAAGUACCCCGAGGAGAAGAAAUCAACCGAGAUUCCGGUAGUAGCGGCGAGCGAACCUGGAUUAGCCCUUAAGCACUCGGUGAAGUAGGUGAACAAGCUGGAAAGCUUGGCGAUACAGGGUGAUAGCCCCGUAACCGACGCUUCAUCGAGCGUGAAAUCGAGUAG
rnacentral:rRNA from 1 species